GUGGUAUUACCUCCGUUUCAUAAUUUUUGUCGAAAUCUUACAUGUAUCUAGACACUUUUUAGGAAUAGAUACAUCCAUUUUUGAACAAAUUUAAGACAAGAAUUAUGAAACGGAGGGAGUAACAU
rnacentral:pre_miRNA from 1 species